UGGUGACUAUAGCAAGGAGGUCACACCUGUUCCCAUGCCGAACACAGAAGUUAAGCUCCUUAGCGUCGAUGGUAGUCGAACU
rnacentral:rRNA from 1 species